rnacentral:rRNA from 1 species
AACGGAGGAGGCGAGCGUUAUCCGGAGUUACUGGGCGUAAAGCGCACGCAGGCGGCUCUGUGAGUCGGACGUGAAAGCUCUCGGCUUAACCGGGAGAGGCCGUUCGAUACUGCGGGGCUUGAGGUAGGGAGAGGAAUGCGGAAUUCCCGGUGUAGUGGUGGAAUGCGUAGAUAUCGGGAGGAACGCCUGUGGCGAAAGCGGCAUUCUGGCCCUCACCUGACGCUGAGGUGCGAAAGCGUGGGUAGCAAACAGG